rnacentral:piRNA from 1 species
UGGGCUUAGGAGAAGCGGCCGAUGGUCCCGA